UAGUCUGUAGCUCUGUUGGUUAGAGCGCUGUACUGGAAUCACAGCUUCGUACGUUCAAAUCCUACCAGAGGAG